CCACAAACAAGCAUUACAGUGCACUCACAGGUCUCUCAUCUUACUUACAAAAGGAGCUCCAGAGACAUUUUUAUUUCUUGGACAUUGAUAUGUACAGUGGGUGUCCCACCAAAACCACUGAUUUUGUUGUUUCAUUGGUUAAACUGCUCUGUAAAUAGGAAAAACAAAAUCUUCCUUUACCCCACCAAUGCCUUACAAAGUUGCUCAGGAGAAUUUGUAAUGCAUGAGGCAGCAGCAGUCCCAUAUUAACUUACAGACUCCAGACAUUAUGCAACCUGAAACUUUCCUAAUUAUACUGGCCUCAACAAUUCCUGCCCACACUUUCACAUUCUCCCACUCUUACAAGUGUGUAUAAAAUCUAGGGUGAUUUAACCCUUUAUCAAAACAGAAUGCUUGGUUUUUAAUUAUUUAGAGGAAAAAAUAAUUGUUUCUGACCUUAGCAAGGCAAUUCAUCCGAACCCAACUUUGACAUUCAGACUUCUGGAAAAGGGGCAAAGGGGCCUGAAGAUGGUGGACACCUUGCUGAAAACCACACUUAUUCACCACUGGACAAAAGUCAAGAUAAGGACAGAGGUUCCCUCAACAGUGACGAGCAAAUGCAUCUUCAGAUGUCAGUUUGAAUUUUGCUCAGGACAACACAGUUGUUGGCUUGCUCAACUCGGAUGCUCCAAGUUAUCUCUCAGGAGGCCCUGAUAUCCUGAUAGGUCCUGAUUCUCACAAGUUUCUCAGAGUCAGAGUGGGAGACCCAGGACAGGAGGCCUCAAAGGACCAGUGGAAGGAUAUAAAGAGAAGGCUAACAAGGCCACUCAGUUGUUAUUUGGAGACUCAUCAUUAAAUGCUGUUUUCCAGGGAAGAGAGAGCUGAGAAUGGCUCAAACUGUUGGAAUUACAAAUAAACCUUUUAAAACAGAUCCCAGGUGGGAUGAAUAAA